rnacentral:rRNA from 1 species
CAAUAGCGUAUAUUAAAGUUGUUGCAGUUAAAAAGCUCGUAGUUGGAAUUCUGGUGGGAGCGAUCGGUCUGGCGCUUAGCGCGAGUACUUGCAUCGUCUCCGGCCAUCCUUGGGGAGAGUCUGUCUGGCAUUAAGUUGUCGGGCAGAGGAUCCUCAUCGUUUACUGUGAAAAAAUUAGAGUGUUCAAAGCAGGCUUAUGCCGUUGAAUAUAUUAGCAUGGAAUAAUAAGAUAGGACUUUGGUACUAUUUUGUUGGUUUGCGCACCAAAGUAAUGAUUAAUAGGGACAGUUGGGGGUAUUCGUAUUCCGUUGUCAGAGGUGAAAUUCUUGGAUUUACGGAAGACGAACUACUGCGAAAGCAUUUACCAAGGAUGUUUUCAUUAA